rnacentral:rRNA from 1 species
GCCCAAUGGUUAAAUAUUUUUAUGAAAUUAAAUAAAAAAAAACUAAAUGGCUGCAGUAACUAUGACUGUAUGAAUGUAGCAUAAUCAUUCGCCACUUAAUUAGUGGAUAGUAUGAAUGGUUAAACGAAAAUUUCUCUGUCUUAUAUAAUAAACAAAAAAUUUAAAUUAUAGUUAAGAUGCUAUAUAAAAUUGUAAGACGAAAAGACCCUAUAAAGCUUAACUAUAAUCUUUUACAAUUUAUUUAAAAAAAUAAGAAAAAAAGAUUGGUAGUUUCAUUGGGGCGAUGAUCUCUAAAAAAAAACAGAGAUAAACUAUAUUUAUAAUAAAAAAAUUUACUGUUUAAUUUAUAAAUUUAACAGUUACAAAGUAGGUUAUAAUGACCCAUUAUUUACCCAAAAAAAGAAAUAAUGAUCAAAAAAUAAAAGCUACUUUAGGGAUAACAGGAUAAUUUUUUCCAAGAGAUCUUAUCGAAGAAAAAGUUUAUCACCUCGAUGUUGAAUUAAGAUACCCCA